rnacentral:misc_RNA from 1 species
ACGCAGCCCGACCUGAGUGGAGCUCUUUUUCUUUUUAUUUAAAAAGAAAAAAGCGGGAACGGAGGGCGGAUUAAGC